GUACUCACUUUGGUAGUACAUAUUCUAAAAUUGAAACAAUACAGAGAAGAUUAGCAUGGCUCCUGCAUAAGGAUGACGUAUAAAUUCAUAAAGAGUUCCAUAUAUUU
ensembl:snRNA U6 U6 spliceosomal RNA